rnacentral:lncRNA from 1 species
AUAAGCAGUUGCAAAGUUCGAUUUUGCUGUAUAGUAUUGAGCCACAUAUUCUUCACAGUAUAUUUUGCUCAUACCUACUGCAGACUUCCUCAUGACAGCUGAAGUGCAAACUGUAAAUGGUGGAAGACAGAAGACUUAUUAUAGAUUUUACAUCCUGCCCACGAGGAUUUUGACUGAUUCCAUUGAGCAGGCUCGGGUCAGCUAAGUCCUUCCCUUCAAAGCAUCAUGGGUGUCUCCGAGCAUCAUUGCGAGCUUGUCCUGGCAGUAAGCCAGGCUUCAAAAGCCUUUCACUGCAGUCACUGACUCACUAAUGGGCAACUGCAGGCUUUCUGAUUUUCUUUUCGUUUCAUGUGUUCAUUUGACAUAAAUUUAAUUAAACCAAAUCUGGUGUUAAAGCAAGACGAGAUAAAAGUGAUAUGUUUCAAAUUAAAGAACUGUGA